GGCACUGCGGCCCAGGGGCGGGCGCGGAGAGGGCCCACAGUGCACUCGGUGACACUGUAUGCCCUCACCGCUCAGCCCCUGGGUCUGGCGUGACGGACAGGACAGCGUCCAG
rnacentral:miRNA from 1 species